rnacentral:rRNA from 1 species
GUGCCAGCAGCCGCGGUAAUACGAAGGGGGCGAGCGUUGUUCGGAUUUACUGGGCGUAAAGGGCGCGCAGGCGGUUCUGUUUGUCGAGUGUGAAAGCCCCGGGCUCAACCUGGGAACUGCGCUCGAAACGGCGGAACUAGAGUUCGGGAGAGGAGAGUGGAAUUCCCAGUGUAGAGGUGAAAUUCGUAGAUAUUGGGAAGAACACCGGUGGCGAAGGCGGCUCUCUGGACCGAUACUGACGCUGAGGCGCGAAAGCGUGGGGAGCAAACAGGAUUAGAAACCCCCGUAGUCC